GCCGAAGUGGUGGAAUUGGUAGACACGCCAGGUUCAGGGUCUGGUGGGCGUGCGUCCGUGGGAGUUCGAGUCUCCCCUUCGGUACCA
rnacentral:tRNA from 1 species